AGCCCAGAGCCUGAAUCAGUGUGUGUGUUAGUGGAAGCGUCUGGAAAGGCGCGCGAUACAGGGUGACAGCCCCGUACACAAAAAUGCACAUACUGUGAGCUCGAUGAGUAGGGCGGGACACGUGGUAUCCUGUCUGAAUAUGGGGGGACCAUCCUCCAAGGCUAAAUACUCCUGACUGACCGAUAGUGAACCAGUACCGUGAGGGAAAGGCGAAAAGAACCCCGGCGAGGGGAGUGAAAAAGAACCUGAAACCGUGUACGUACAAGCAGUGGGAGCCUCUUAAUGGGGUGACUGCGUACCUUUUGUAUAAUGGGUCAGCGACUUAUAUUCUGUAGCAAGGUUAACCGAAUAGGGGAGCCGAAGGGAAACCGAGUCUUAACUGGGCGUUAAGUUGCAGGGUAUAGACCCGAAACCCGGUGAUCUAGCCAUGGGCAGGUUGAAGGUUGGGUAACACUAACUGGAGGACCGAACCGACUAAUGUUGAAAAAUUAGCGGAUGACUUGUGGCUGGGGGUGAAAGGCCAAUCAAACCGGGAGAUAGCUGGUUCUCCCCGAAAGCUAUUUAGGUAGCGCCUCGUGAAUUCAUCUCCGGGGGUAGAGCACUGUUUCGGCAAGGGGGUCAUCCCGACUUACCAACCCGAUGCAAACUGCGAAUACCGGAGAAUGUUAUCACGGGAGACACACGGCGGGUGCUAACGUCCGUCGUGAAGAGGGAAACAACCCAGACCGCCAGCUAAGGUCCCAAAGUCAUGGUUAAGUGGGAAACGAUGUGGGAAGGCCCAGACAGCCAGGAUGUUGGCUUAGAAGCAGCCAUCAUUUAAAGAAAGCGUAAUAGCUCACUGGUCGAGUCGGCCUGCGCGGAAGAUGUAACGGGGCUAAACCAUGCACCGAAGCUGCGGCAGCGACACUAUGUGUUGUUGGGUAGGGGAGCGUUCUGUAAGCCUGUGAAGGUGUACUGUGAGGUAUGCUGGAGGUAUCAGAAGUGCGAAUGCUGACAUAAGUAACGAUAAAGCGGGUGAAAAGCCCGCUCGCCGGAAGACCAAGGGUUCCUGUCCAACGUUAAUCGGGGCAGGGUGAGUCGACCCCUAAGGCGAGGCCGAAAGGCGUAGUCGAUGGGAAACAGGUUAAUAUUCCUGUACUUGGUGUUACUGCGAAGGGGGGACGGAGAAGGCUAUGUUGGCCGGGCGACGGUUGUCCCGGUUUAAGCGUGUAGGCUGGUUUUCCAGGCAAAUCCGGAAAAUCAAGGCUGAGGCGUGAUGACGAGGCACUACGGUGCUGAAGCAACAAAUGCCCUGCUUCCAGGAAAAGCCUCUAAGCAUCAGGUAACAUCAAAUCGUACCCCAAACCGACACAGGUGGUCAGGUAGAGAAUACCAAGGCGCUUGAGAGAACUCGGGUGAAGGAACUAGGCAAAAUGGUGCCGUAACUUCGGGAGAAGGCACGCUGAUAUGUAGGUGAAG
rnacentral:rRNA from 1 species